UCAAAAAUAAAAACUAAUUAUCCAAUAAGCACCAACCAAACAUGUUCAUCAACAAAUUACUAAAUAUUCAAUAUACACUUACAUUCCAACUUAUCCUAUGGUCAUCUAGCCUAAGUUUUCACAGAACAUUAUAUAUUAAAUGCAAGAAACCUAAACCAUACCUUGGCCGAUUUUCACAUAACGACCAA